UUUGAUCCUGUGGCUCUCAAUUAAACAAAAUUGCAGUUUUAUUUCAAAUUUUGAAACAGAAAUACACAAAAGAGUAGAGUAGUUAUCCGUAUGCGUAUACUGCGGGUGCAUCAAAUCCCGCAACCCACUCCUCAAAAGUUGCAGUUGCAUGUAGUGCAGGAUUUUCUUCUCCAAGAUUGGUGUUUGAAAAGAUAUCGACUUUCAGUUGCAAGCGUAGGAUAAGUACGGAAGAAAAGCAAAGAACUAAUCGGAAGAUGAGUGGAGGUUGCAAGUAGCCGUUUAAUUGAAAGCCCCUGGGUUUUUAAUUUGCCAAAGAAGAGCCCAGUGUUUGUGAAUUUGGAGGAUGAUGUUGUGACAGACAAGACAGACGUAGUUGUUGGUGAUAAGAGGUCGUCCUUGAAGAGAGCAAGACAAAAGGUAACAGCUGUUAAUAAUUCUGAAUAACAGACGAUGAAUUCCAGCAGUAUAGAUGUUCGCAGUGAAAGGAUACACGGUAACAGGCUGAAAAGAAUGGAGUUAAGCAAGGAAGAAGAUGAAUUUGUUACUCCAGGGGAGAAUUUUGGCAGCAGUGGCAAGAAAGGGCAAUACCGAAGGGGAGUAUUUAAGUUGGAAGUGUAGAACAAUUAUCUUAGCAGUAAAUUUGGAUAGUCUGAAUUGUUCUGGAUGCUUGUUCUUUUUGUUUUUGUGAGAAUAUGCACAAGUUUAGUAAUUGUCACGCAACAUCAGUACCUUUUUUUAACUCUUUAUAUUAAAAAGCUGAAAGAUGUUCGUAACUUUGAGGACA